rnacentral:lncRNA from 1 species
GCCAUUGUGUGUCUAUGGGGUCCCUAUGGGGCCGGUAUGUGUCUAUGGGUCCCUAUGGGGCCGCUGUGUUUCUAUGAGGGCCCUUAUGUGUCUAUGGGAUCCCUAUAGGGCCCUUGUGUUUCUAUGGGGUCCCUAUAGGGCCCUUGUGCGUCUAUGGGGUCCCUAUGGUGCCGCUGUGUUUCUAUGCGGUCCCUAUGGGGCCCUUAUGUGUCUAUGGGGUCCCUAUAGGGCCCUUAUGUGUCUAUGGGGUCGCUAUAGGGCCGUUGUGUGUCUAUGGGGUCACUAUAGGGCCCUUAUGUGUCUAUGGGGUCCCUAUGGGGCCGUUGUGAUUCUAUGGGGCCGCUAUAGGGCCGUUGUGUGUCUAUGGGGUCGCUAUAGGGCCGUUGUGAUUCUAUGGGGUCCUUAUAGGGCCCUUAUGUGUCUAUGGGGUCGCUAUGGGGCCGCUGUGAUUCUAUGGGGUCCUUAUAGGGCCGUUGUGAUUCUAUGGGUCCUUAUAGGGCCGUUGUGUUUCUAUGGGGUCCUUAUAGGGCCGUUGUGAUUCUAUGGGGCCGCUAUAGGGCCGUUGUGAUUCUAUGGGGUCCCUAUAGGGCCGUUGUGAUUCUAUGGGGCCGCUAUAGGGCUGCAAUGUCACAUAGUGACCACACGGUGGCGCUGUUCUAUGGGGCCGUUGUGAUUCUAUGGGGCUGUAAUGUCACAUAGUGGCCGCUUGGGGGCGCUGUUCUAUAGGGCCCUUGUGUGUCUAUGGGGUCUCUAUGGGGCCGUUGUGUGUCUAUGGGGCGGCGGUGUUUUUAUAGGGCCGCGAUGUUGACAAUGGGCGGCGGCGCGGAUCUAUGGGGUCGCUGUGUUCCUCUAUGGGGCCACUGUGUUCCUCUAUGGGGCCGCUGUUUGUCUAUGGGGCCGCUGUUUGUCUAUGGGGUUGCGGUGUUCCUAUGGGGCCGCUGUUUGUCUAUGGGGUCGCUGUGUUCCUCUAUGGGGUCGCUGUGUUCCUCUAUGGGGUCGCUGUUUGUCUAUGGGGUCGCUGUGUUCCUCUAUGGGGCCGCUGUUUGUCUAUGGGGUCGCUGUGUUCCUCUAUGGGGCCGCUGUUUGUCUAUGGGGUCGCUGUGUUCCUCUAUGGGGCCGCUGAAUAGGGGCUGAUCUAUGGGGCAGGGGUGGAUCUAUGGGGUGGGAACUGAUCUAUGGGGUGAGAAUAGGGGCUGAUCUGUGGGGUGGGAUUAGGGGCUGAUCUAUGGGGUCUGAAUAGGGGCAGAUCUAUGGGGUGGGAAUGGAUCUAUGGGGCAGGGGCCGAUCUAUGGGGCAGGGGCUGAUCUAUGGGGAGGAUCUAUAGAGCGGAUCUAUGGGGCAGGGGCUGAUCUAUGGGGCAGGGGCGGAUCUAUGGGGCUGAUCUAUGGGGCAGGGGCUGCUCUAUGGGGCUGAUCUAUGGGGCAGGGGCGGAUCUAUAGGGCGGAUCUAUGGGGCAGGGACUGAUCUAUAGGACGGAUCUAUGGGGCAGGGGCGGAUCUAUGGGGCAGGGGCUGAUCUACGGAUCUAUAGGGCGGACC